GGGAACAUCCAUUCAGACGGGGAACAUCCGUUCAAAUAUUUUAUAUUUAACAAAUACAAAUAUGAACUUAGAUAAUAGCUGAAUAAUUAAAUACAUAUCCAUAUUUUCUAUCCACAAGGCAAACAAAGAUAUUGAUGGUACAUUUACAAUGUCCUUACUUUCUUAGGGAAUGUGAAUGUAAAUUGAUUAUUUGCUAUAUCGAUAUAUGUUCAAGAG
rnacentral:lncRNA from 1 species